UUGACUGGUUAAAUUAGUAAGUUAGAGUGGUGUGUCAGGCUAUCACGCAUAAUAUGGAGCCAUUUAUUUCUAGAAGCAAGGAUUUUAUUGAUAUAUAGUGUAACCGUGAGAACUAAAAAGUGGAUAAGAAGUUGUUACCAACUUUUUAGGGGGAGCUCUGUCCAUGUUCUGUUUGCAGAUUAGGAAAUCAGCAGAAAUGUCUCCGUUCGUUGAGUUAAGCGGAUUUGGU
rnacentral:lncRNA from 1 species